GCGAUUGCAUCGCACAUGCCGCCCCGCUACAGCUCCUCCAUCUCCAACGCUAACCGCCUCCUGCUCCGACCGUCUCCGACCACCUCCACCUCCAACCGCCUCCGUCCGCCUCCGCCUCCGCCUUCACCUCUGGCCGCCUCCGCCUCCGCCUCCCCCUUGCGACCUCCGCCUCCGGCCGCCUCCACCUCCGCCUCCUCUGCGACGCGUGCGAUGAAUAGACGUCCCCGCAUCGAACAGCACCUUCCCUCGGCUUGGCUCCGUGCUGAAAAAAAGGCAACUACGGCUUGGUUCCUUCGGCACGGCAACUUCUCGGACGCCACCACCGUCAUGGUAGGAGGUGAAGGGUCCAACAAGGACGAUGACCCUACCGCUAGGUAUGUUGGCCCACGAUGGCAGGAGGAGGAAGUAGUGUCAUGGUCUCAUGGAAGCCGAAGGAUCCCAGGAGGACGCAGGCUCAAGGGCGGUAAGGCUUAUGGUGCCCUCAUCUCAUCUGCCUUCACUUGCCAUAGCACCACCUGCGCACAAAGACGAUGGUUUCAUGGGUAAUCGUGGAGGUGAAGGAGACGAGCGAGAGAACACAGAAUAAGUCGAUCACCAUGGGAGUAGACAUUGUUGAAGCUAAUGGCGAUGACAAUACACUCUUACAUUGUAAUAUUUGCUGUUGUUCUAAUAGUCAUUUAUUUCUCAACUCGUUGUAUGACCCAGCCUGCUCAACUCAUCCCCUGUAAGAAAUACUCCCUCCAUACUAUCUUUUUUAGAUGUCGUUAGAACAUA